rnacentral:rRNA from 1 species
CAGGACCUACGGGGCGCAGCAGUGGGGAAUAUUGCACAAUGGGGGAAACCCUGAUGCAGCGAUGCCGCGUGGAGGAAGAAGGUUUUCGGAUUGUAAACUUCUUUUGUCAGGGGACAAAAUCAGGCUCGAGAGCCUGACCGAGGGUACUUGGAGAAAAAGCAUCGGCUAACUCCGUGCCAGCAGCCGCGGUAAUACGGAGGAUGCGAGCGUUAUCCGGAUUUAUUGGGUUUAAAGGGUGCGUAGGCGGACUGUUAAGUCAGCGGUAAAAGCCCGGGGCUCAACCCCGGCGAGCCGUUGAAACUGGC